rnacentral:lncRNA from 1 species
ACUUUCUAGGAUGUAACUCUGAGAUUAAUUCUCGUCUUAAUCAACUAUCAACAAAUUAUCCUAAGCCUGAAAAAUGGAUAGGAAGAGGGGUGAGAUUAUGAUUACAUAAUCCUAGUGAGUAAACAAUUACCAUCAAAAGCAUCUAAAGCCGAGUAGAUGGAGACAAUAUAAAAACGUUAUAUCUCAAUAAUGUUCAUAACACAAAACUCGUUUCAAUCUAUACCAAACAAUUUC